GGCAGGAGGGGGAGAGGAGAGCAUGGGGAGGGGAGGAGUAGGAUUUAACAGCCACACCUUCCCCACAACUGCAUACACAUCUUAUAACAUAACCAUGAUCAAAUUACAAAAAGGAAAGACACUGUUGACAACAAAUCAGGUUUAGGACUUUCUUGGUCCUCUGUGUGCUUCAGAGUUUGUUCUGAUCAUUGCUGCAUAGUAAAGAUAAAGGGGAGAUCCAAAAUGAGAAAGGCCUAAAUCCCCACAUGCUCCAUUAAUACAAGAAAAAAAGGAUUCCCAGAUAGGAAACAUAUUUUUCAUUCAGCUUUGGAGCUUAAUUGGUGCAAAUGAACACACAGAUAGUCUCUUGUUCUUCCCCCUUCCCAAUGAGUUGCUUGUCAAUUUUCUUUCGAUUAGUUGAAAACUCAAAGCGGUGACUUCCUAUAUUAACACAUCUUACUUGGAGAAUAAAUAAUUUGAACUCCAGAGGUGCAAAGCUGAAGAGUGGCAGGCUGGCAUCCUGGAAAAUGCUGUGAUGUCUCUCCUGAUGCCUCCACAAGUCCAUGUUGUCUGGAAGCCUUUGCUAAACAGAUCACAAUCGAUUGACUUGAAGCUGGCAUAUUUCCGACUGGGAAUGAUGAGGCCGGACAUCUGGCUGAAAGCUCUGCCACUCUCCUGAGGCUUGUGGGGCUUCUGACCUGAGGAUUACAAUAAGAAGGACAUGACAUGACACAAGAUAGCUUCAACAGCAAAUCAGUCCAAAUUGUAAGGACUAUAUGGGAACUGUAGUUCAAAACAUCAGGAGGGCAUUAAUUUGAGGAAGGCUGAAAGGACAGAACAUGUUUUCUUAUCCGACUCCCUUGAACACUGCUUCAGUGUGUACCAGUGGAGUAUAGAACACACUCUGCUUGGAUGAUAAACAUGCACCAGUGAGAAAAUUAAGAGAAGUCUCCACCAAAUAAAUAAAUAAAAUCUGAAAUAAUAACACAUUCUGUACAGAAAA